rnacentral:rRNA from 1 species
CGGACGGGUGAGUAAUGCCUGGGGAGAUGCCCAAUCGAGGGGGAUACCAGUUGGAAACGACUGCUAAUACCGCAUACGCCCUGAGGGGGAAAGGUGGGGAUCUUCGGACCUAUCGCGAUUGGAUGCACCCAGGUGGGAUUAGCUAGUUGGUGAGGUAACGGCUCACCAAGGCGACGAUCUCUAGCUGGUCUGAGAGGAUGACCAGCCACACUGGAACUGAGACACGGUCCAGACUCCUACGGGAGGCAGCAGCC